rnacentral:rRNA from 1 species
UACGUAGGUGACCAGCGUUGUCCGGAUUUACUGGGCGUAAAGAGCGCGCAGGCGGUCGUUCAAGUCGAGUGUGAAAGCCCCCGGCUCAACUGGGGAGGGUCACUCGAUACUGAUCGACUUGAAGGCAGUAGAGGGAAGCGGAAUUCCCGGUGUAGUGGUGAAAUGCGUAGAUAUCGGGAGGAACACCAGUGGCGAAGGCGAGUCUCUGGGCAUUUCCUGACGCUGAGGCACGAAAGCCAGGGGAGCAAACGGG